rnacentral:tRNA from 2 species
AAAAUCCGUCGACCUUUAAAAUCGUGAGGGUUCAAGUCCCUCUAUCCCCA